AAUAACUGGUUCAUCAAUCAAAGAAAACGCAAUUGGCAUAGCAAUUCACAGUCUGUGACAUCUCUAAAGUCCAAACGCAAGAGAUAAGAAAACGAACGAUCAAAAUGAAGCAACACAUAUAUAGGUAUGAUGAUGGUGAUAUGAAGAAUUCUGAACUGUCAAUCGUGAUCUCUAUGACAUGGGAAAAAUGUUAGGUAAUUCGCGUAGAUUAGGACGGAUUGUAAUAUAUAUGGUACUCAGAAUUGGUAUACAUGUAUUGACAUUUUCAGUAUUAUACAAACUAACAGUACUUUUG
rnacentral:misc_RNA from 1 species